rnacentral:lncRNA from 1 species
GUUAGCGCCUCGCUUGGUGUCGGGUCGAGCAACAUUUCCUCACUACUCUUGUGGUGCUUCUUUCUCUUGUUGUUCUUCCAUCCACCAUCCAGCCUGACAUUGGUGGGCGUUUAUGUCUCCUUCAUUAGUCAUUCCCUUAGUAGCAAACUAUUGCUCUGAUACCACGUUGUCACGGACUUAGAGUCUCACUAAAGCUCCGUGCGACACUUGACAACUUACUCACCAAGAAAUUAAAUAUUAAACAAAUAAAAUUAACAUAAAAAGCGUACCCUAAAAAUUUGAACAUUAUUUUCUCCAUUUUUGCUCUCAAAUUGAGAGCCAAAUUCAUAUCAAAUGGGUGGAAUUCUUACCUAUCUACUUGAAUUUUACACUAUUGAUUCACAAACACAAACCCAACAAAUCUCUAUACAAUUUUAAAUUUAUUUCAUAAAUUCACAAAACCCAUUUGUUAUUCUUGAAGUUUUUUCAAGCUUAUCAAUGAAGUUUUUCAUUUUUUAAUACCCACUAUCACCAAAGAAUACGCACGAAAUCGAGAUUUUGAAAGAAGAAAUAUGGCAAAAUGAAAAGAACUAGGAGGGACGUUGAUUUGCAGCAAAACGAAUGAACUUUGAGAAAAUAUUUAGGGGUGGGACUGUGUGCGGGGGUGUUAAGAAGAAGAAGAAGGAAAAUGGUGGGUGAAUCCAACGAAAGAAGGAAAGAAGUGGAAUGGAUUUAAGAAAUUUGGUUCGGGGGGAGGCAGCAGCGACAUAGAGUGCUUUGAAGAAUAUGACUUCCCCUUCUUUCUUAAUUUGUUUUAGGUGUUUUCAUUUAUUUGUUUUUUAAGAUUUUAAUGUUUUUUUUUCUUAUAAAUUUUAUACAAACUUGCUUUAAAAUUCGU